rnacentral:lncRNA from 1 species
AUGGCCAUUGUAUGGUUUACUUUCAUUUUCUUGCGACCUCUGUGCAUCAUGAUGCAAUUUUUAGCUACGCAUUUCUUUAUAAUUUUUUUCCUAUCUUUAAUACAAUGAUCGUGUACAGCAAAAGGAAUUAUCUCUUCAUGGGAUAGUUUAUGGGCUUGAGUGCCACUAGCUCUGUAGCCUCAUUCAGCUUGAUUUUUUUUUAAAAGAUGGAUUUGGUAAAUAGAAAAAUCAGGAGACAAAUGUUUCUGAAAGUUCCUGUUAUUAAUUUCAUAAUUAUCAUGGACUUCCACAUCAGUCUUUAAGUCAAGUAAUUAUCAGUACUGUUGCCUUUCUUAUAAACUGCAGUGUGUAGUAGUAAGCUUAUGUCACUAACUAUUUUCAUUUUUAGCGCUACUUUUAAUAUUUCUUUUCAUGGAUAAUAACUGGUUCCGAGUCUGGACAUGCAAAGUGAAACCCUGCAAGUUGAUAGGAUUAUCUAGUACCAGAAGAGAAGAAAUAAUAUGUUACUGCUUGUGUUGGUCUUUCAGAUAUCUUGACGACAUCUUACUGCUGACGACAUAAAGGUAUGCUCAACUUCGCAUAAGAUUCUCCGAUCUCAUCAGAAUUCAGUAAAUCCCAGAUUGGAGGACCUAGAGCAAGAAUGUAGUAAGAUGUCAAUGAGCACAGCCUUAGGUGAGCUGCAGUGGAACCAUGCAAGGGCAGUAAGUGCGAAGGAUCUCUCACAGAAUUUGAACCGUGAGGUUAAGGAACAAGGAAUCAUGAAAGCAGAAGAGAGCUGGACAAUCAGCAGCAUAUCCUGGGUGCUAUCUUGGUGACAGAAACCACUGACUCGGUGUCGUCUGUGGGUGAUCAUCAUGCAGAUAGUGCUUGAAGAGACUUUUUCGGAUCAGAUUGUGAAGGCAGAAAUGAAAGUCGAAUGCCACGCAAAAGGUGUAUAUGUGGUAGAGCUGCUCUCCAUUUCAUCUGUUGCCUUUGCAUAAUUUUUCUUGCGGUUGUCUUAUCGAAGUGGUGGAUUGAUGAUGAUGAGCUUUCUUAUGUGCUUCCAACAUAAAUGCCAAGGCGCGGUGGACUAUCAAUGAUGAGAUUAUGUAGUUCCAUCGUAAUGCCCAGUCGUUGUUGACAUUUUUUGUUUUUGUUUCUAAUUUUGUUUUUCUUGCAAUUAAUAUUGUUGUCUAUAGUGCUGAGUUUUCUAAAAUUUUUCUAUGGCAGUUUUGUAUUUUGACUGGCUAUAUACAUAAUAUGCUCUUACUAUAAUUGGAAUAGACUAUGAGCAAAAUGACUAGAGCCAAUGUGCAGUUUUUUAGGUUAUGGCUCUAAAGAAUCAGAGAUAUUUGUUUAUGGUUGCUGUUUUGGGGUUUCCCUAAGUUGUACAUGAUUGAGCUUUCUCCUUUGUCAUGGCAUGGAGCAUUGACAUGCUGCUACAUCUAGGGUUUCUUCACUUUUAAUAUAUUAAUUGUCAUGGUGGUGGUUUAUUGUUUUAGAAGUCAUGGCAUUGGCACUAAUUUAAAAUCUCCUUCCAAGAGUGAUGUGCAUGAUCUAAUAUGUGCAUUAUUUCCGUAUUUAUCUAAUGUUUCUUCAUACCCUAAUAGCUCCUUCUACAAGCGAGUCGGCAAAAAAUAAAAGAAGCACCCCUUUUUGAUGAGCGGAAAAAAAAGAGAAACAUGGAUAACAAGGUAGGAGGCCUUGCUUUUGAUCUGAUGAAAAAGACCUCAAGAUGGUCGGCGAUGAAGGCCAGCAUCCAGCUCGGCUCAUCCUAUGGUGAUGGUUGCAAUGGCAACAAUGGCCAUUGUGGCCAACAGUGGAUGAAGAAGGAAAAAAAAGGAAGAAAGAACCAAAAACAGAAGAGCCUCUCACAACUAAAUCCUUUGGUGAUGGUUGCAAUGGCAACAAUGGCCAUUGUAUGGUUUACUUUCAUUUUCUUGCGACCUCUGUGUAUCAUGAUGCAAUUUUUAGCUACACAUUUCUUUUUAAUUUUUUUCCUAUCUUUAAUACAAUGAUCAUGUACAACAAAAGGAAUUAUCUCUUCAUGGGAUAGUUUAUGGGCUUGCGUACCACUAGCUUUGUAGUUUCAUUCAGCUAGAUUUUUUUUUUAAAGAUGGAUUUGGUAAAUAGAAAAAUCAGG